CUGUUGUCACAGACUGUCUCCUUUCCCCAGAUACACUCUGUAGGUCUGGAAGUGUCUUUGGAGGACUAGGACAGUGAACAGUAGUUCUAAUUUUAUUACUAGCUUUUGGAAGUGCCAAAGCAAGCAGAGACUUAUUUGUGGGCCAGAGUCCCCUGUGACACAGUAAUGCAGCAGUCAUAACAAUGUGGACACUUGGUUUCGGCCAUAGAAAUAACUGGCACAGGAGCCAGGAGCCAGUUGCUCAAAUGAAGUUUUAGAAAAAGUUUGGCCUUGAAAAGAAGUGUUUCAGUAUACAUAGGGCAGAGAAUUCCAACUCCGUGCUCAUUUAAAAGUUUCUUCUUUACACAAAAGCUUUUAGGGGAGGCCGUGUGAAGGGCUGCAGUUGGACUCAGAAGGCACGGAUGCUGGUCUUAAUGCGCCAUAGGACUGUGACAUGGAAUAGCUCUCUGCUCAAGCUGCAGCUUUUCUGCUGCUAUCGUUUAGUGACAGGAAACCAGCUAACAUACCCACCUAGAAAAUAGUAAUGAAAAUUCAUGAUGCAAUUAAGAAUAAUAGUUCAAAGAGUAUUUUUAAAAUGUGAGGAAUACUGUAGAGUCACCAAUGAGAUAUCAUUUAGAUUUAAAACAGUUCAUAGUUUAGGCUGGUGACUGACAGUUCUUUGGAAUGGAAUGGAAGUGGGUACUGCUGAAGGAAAGCUGGAUUUAAACAAGACCAAGGACUUACUGGUGAUAGGGAGCUACCACUUGGAAGAGUAUGGUAAAACCCAAUGAAAAUAUCCAGAGAGAAAUAGUUGGGAUAUGGAGUUUGUAAGUCAGGACUACUACAACCUGUGCCCGGCUGAACACAAUACAAUUGAUAACCUUCAAGUGCCCAUAUCAUGCCCACACUGCUACCUUCCGAGAGCCAG